rnacentral:lncRNA from 1 species
AGGCAAGGAGCCUCAACUGGCAGGGGGAAGUCAGACUUGGGUCUCAGUCUGGAGCCGGGGCAUCCUUAGGUGUUGGUCGCGCAGCGUGGUUACUGUAGACGUCUGAGGUCCCGAAACCUGCCUUCGUGUCCUAGUCCUGGUCCUUCGGGGGGCCAUCUCUUCUGGCCUCUGGUUCCAGUUGUGGAAAAGGAAUCAACGAUCCUGCAAGAGAAAGAGACACGAGGACUCCGCGCUACAAAGCCCGCUGUAAACCUUAGGUGGCAGCUAGACAUUGAGUACGUGUGGACACAAGGAAGAGAACAAUAGACACGGGGGCCUGUCUGAAGGUGGAUUGGGGGAGGAGGGUAAGGAC